rnacentral:rRNA from 1 species
UACAGAGGUCUCAAGCGUUGUUCGGAUUCAUUGGGCGUAAAGGGUGUGUAGGUGGCGCGCUAAGUCGGGUGUGAAAUUUCGGAGCUUAACUCCGAAACUGCAUUCGAUACUGGCGUGCUUGAGGACUGGAGAGGAGACUGGAAUUCAUGGUGUAGCAGUGAAAUGCGUAGAGGUCAUGAGGAAGACCAGUGGCGAAGGCGGGUCUCUGGACAGUUCCUGACGCUGAGGCAACGAAGGCCCAGGGGAGCAAACGGG